CAGGUGAGUUCAUCGAUCUUCAAGCACAAUGGAAAGAGUCAGAGAAAGAGUAAGAUGAGGAGGAAGGGGAGGAAGAGGAAUCAACAGAGGAGGAAUCAACAGAGGAAGAGAUGGCGGCCAUGCUGGAGGUAGAGGUAGAGGAAGAGGAAGACAAGAAGGUGCUCAAAGAGGACCGAAUCUGACCAAUUGCGCAACACUGGUUGACCACGUUGUCAACCACGGCCUGAUGCUGAGGGAGGCUGGACUGCGAGUACAGCCAAAUCUAAGCCGAUACACAGUUGCAAGUGUUGUAAGAACAUUUCGACUGGAAAAUAGGAUUGAGGGUCAGGAACGACAAAGGGGAAGGCCUCCUAUGUUCACAGAACAGCAAGAGAGGGAGAUCGUAAACAUGGUUUUGGCCAACAAUGCUAUAACACUCAAUCAGCUCCAAGCUAACAUUGUCAAUAACCACGCCAGUUUCAACAAUAUCCAUCAGGUCUCAACAUCAACACUGGCACACAUCCUAGAAAAAAAAAAACAUUCAAAUGAAGCAAAUUUAUCGAGUGCCUUUCGAGCGCAAUUCCGAAAGGGUGAAACGACUGCGGCAUGAUUAUGCAGAGAGAGUUUUACGAAUGGAUGGAGAGGAGAUCCAGCAUGAGUUCAUUUACGUAGAUGAGGCUGGGUUCCACCUGACGAGAACACGAAGGAGGGGAAGAAACAUCAUUGGCCACAUGGCUAUAGUCAAUGUCCCAGGGCAACUUGGGGGUAAUAUAACACUCUGUGCAGCCAUUACACAGAAUGGGGUCCUCCACCGCCAUGCCCAUAUGGGCCCUUACAACACCGCACUCAUACUUACAUUCUUGGACCAAUUGCACAACAUAACAGCAGCAAAUCAAAUCGAAAAGUGUUUCAGGUUUAUCACAGCAGAGUGUAACUCGUGCAAACAGAGUAUAGUAAUAUGAAACUUGUGUGUUUCAUAUGGUAACAAAGUGUGGUUUUUAAACAGAAGUGUAUAGUUUUUACAAGUGUUUAAUUAAUGCAAAGGAUCUGUAGUGUUUUGCUAAUUGGGUGUGUGGUUGUGCUAAUUGUGUGUAGUGUUUUGAAAACACGGGCCAUGUUUUGAAAAUCGUGCUUAAGCAAUCCAAAAAAACUGUAAAGGGAGCAUUCACCCAAAAAUGCAAAUUUGCUGGUAUUUUACUCUCAGGCCAUCCAAGAUGUGUGACUUUUUGUUCUUCAGUAAAGCCUUUUUAGCUGAAACUGGUUCUUUGUGUUUAAUAAAAUGCAAGUUAAAAACAUACGAGGUGCCACAAAAUUAAUAACCGAUAU